rnacentral:misc_RNA from 1 species
GAUGAAGAACGUAGUGAAAUGCGAUAAGUAAUGUGAAUUGCAGAAUUCAGUGAAUCAUCGAAUCUUUGAACGCAUCUUGCGCUCCUUGGUAUUCCUUGGAGCAUGCCUGUUUGAGUAUCAUGAGCAAAUCUCAAAGUCAAUUCCUUUUGUUGAUUCAAUUGGUUUUGCUUUGGACCUGGAGGCCUUGCAGAUUUCACAGUCUGCUCCUCUUAAAUGCAUUAGCUGGAUCUCAGUAAUUAUGCUUGGUUCCACUCGGCGUGAUAAGUAUCACUCGCUGAGGACACUGUUAAAAAGGUGGCCAGGAAAAUACUGAUUGAACCGCUUCUAACGGUCUAUUAAGUUAGACAAUUACCCUUAAGUUUGAUCUCAAAUCAGGUAGGACUACCCGCUGAACUUAAGCAUAUCAAUAAGCGGAGGA